rnacentral:misc_RNA from 1 species
GUGAAUCAUCAAAUUUUUGAAAGAAAAGGGAAAGGGAGACGGAGAGUAUGCCUGUUUGAGGGUCAGCCUAUAAAAAAUCGACAUCGUUGCUGUUUAGCGGUGGCGUUCGUCGGAAAUUGGGUCAUAUUAAAUAUUUUGGUUUUAAGCGACUUAAAAUUUUCUGUUUGGUUACAUGAACGUUUCUAAGAUUUAUUUCUUUACACGUUUAAGGUAUCGAUUUUUAUUAGACGUGACCAUAAUGGCGGAUAGAGCCCAUAAUCUUUAACUAACUGACCUCAG